rnacentral:rRNA from 1 species
GAUGAACGCUGGCGGCGUGCCUAAUACAUGCAAGUCGAGCGAACAGACGAGGAGCUUGCUCCUCUGACGUUAGCGGCGGACGGGUGAGUAACACGUGGAUAACCUACCUAUAAGACUGGGAUAACUUCGGGAAACCGGAGCUAAUACCGGAUAAUAUAUUGAACCGCAUGGUUCAAUAGUGAAAGACGGUUUUGCUGUCACUUAUAGAUGGAUCCGCGCCGCAUUAGCUAGUUGGUAAGGUAACGGCUUACCAAGGCAACGAUGCGUAGCCGACCUGAGAGGGUGAUCGGCCACACUGGAACUGAGACACGGUCCAGACUCCUACGGGAGGCAGCAGUAGGGAAUCUUCCGCAAUGGGCGAAGGCCUGACGGAGCAACGCCGCGUGAGUGAUGUAGGUCUUCGGAUCGUAAAACUCUGUUAUUAGGGAAGAACAAAUGUGUAAGUAACUAUGCACGUCUUGACGGUACCUAAUCAGAAAGCCACGGCUAACUACGUG